rnacentral:rRNA from 1 species
AUUGAACGCUGGCGGCAUGCUUUACACAUGCAAGUCGAACGGUAACAGGGAGCUUGCUCCGCUGACGAGUGGCGAACGGGUGAGUAAUGCAUCGGAACAUGCCCAGUCAUGGGGGAUAACUACGCGAAAGCGUAGCUAAUACCGCAUACGCCCUGAGGGGGAAAGUGGGGGGUCUUAGGACCUCACGUGAUUGGAGUGGCCGAUGUCAGAUUAGCUAGUUGGUGAGGUAAAGGCUCACCAAGGCGACGAUCUGUAGCGGGUCUGAGAGGAUGAUCCGCCACACUGGGACUGAGACACGGCCCAGACUCCUACGGGAGGCAGCAGUGGGGAAUUUUGGACGAUGGGCGCAAGCCUGAUCCAGCCAUGCCGCGUGAGUGAAGAAGGCCUC